UUGGUACCCGUGAAAUUGUUCCCCGGUUU
rnacentral:piRNA from 1 species